AUGCUACAUCUCACGGAUGAUGUCAUCUGGGACCUCGCUGUGACCAAAGGGCACCCACUGCGUGCUCCCUGCUCAGUGAGUCAGAGCCAUACGCAGAGUCUUCACCAGCAGAGCUACGAGGAAAGCCCUAAAAAGCCUGAAGAAGACCACUUACGACGUCAUGCUGUUCCCAGCUGGAAGCAGGUCUCCAGUGUCGCCAGGACUGUCCCAUCUCUUGGGUUUGCUGGUGCUGCCGGCAGCCUGACAGGCUCAGAACCAGAGGAAAAGAGGGGCUACUGCCAGGGAGGAGGAGGUUUGUGGUCAGGGAGACCGAAGCCUACAGGCAGGAGUGGCUAAAACACCCAGUCCUGGGAACUUCGUCCACACCACCUCAGUGGCAGACGGAGAUGAGGCUGACAGUUGAUACGGAGAGACAGGAAAGGGUCUUGGAUUCCCAAGAAGCAAGCCUGAGACCAGGGUACAAGUAGUUUAUUGGGAGGUGGUUCUGAUUCCGGUGGUGAAAAAUUAGAAGGUAGGACCUUUGUUCUUGUCUUCUUUGAAGGAAGAAUUCAGCAGAGACCAAGAUUGUGAAAAGAUAAAGGUGUUUAUAAAAAGAAGCAGAAUAUGUGUAAAAGAACACGCAGCUGAACUCAGAGAGAGUUAUGUGCAACGGGGCUGGCUUAGGUUGCUUAAAUCAGGUAGUUUUCUGCUUUUGUUUUCUGACCAGUCAUCUUCAUAUCUGGUCCUUGUAUGGGCACGCAUAUCUCAGCCAAGAUGGAUUCCAGCUGACCUCUUCUCCCUCCUUUUGUCCUUCCCCUCGACUGAGGGCCUUCUCUGGGUGUGUGUUGAGCCAGGAAACCCCACAAGAAUGCACCCUGUCUGGGCUCAGUGCACCCGCUGGCCUCCCAUCUCGAAGCAUCAGCAGGAGACCAGCUGCAGUUGCUCAGCCGGGGGCCUGUGCAUCUCCUACCUCAGGUCUGAAGAGAGGAGCCUGACCCAGAUGUUACUGAGUAGCGUCUGCUGUGAGCACCCAGGGCCCAGGCCCGCUGGGAACCCUCUGAGAUGGGGCCAGGACUAGGGUGAGGCACUUGGGGUGCCGGAUUAAGGAGGGACCCACUCUCGCACAACCCUCGUAGAUGCCGCCUUAAACCUUGCACCCCGGAGCCUCUCUUACCUUGCCCUAGUCCCUGCCCUGCUCUGAGAGACUGUGCAGAACUAACCUCACGAUUGUUCCGUCCACAGCUGGGAGCCAGGGAUCUUGUCGCUGAGCUUUUCAAUGAUUGAGCAUUUCCCCUGGGUUGUUAAAUCUCAGCACUUGCAGCCCUGAGGCAGAGUCAGAGGGAGGAAGAGCUGGUCC
rnacentral:lncRNA from 1 species